CCUCCCGCCGCCAGCGCGCGGGUCACGAGGCGGAGCGACGUGAGGUCCGCCCACCGGCGGAGGAGCUCAGACGGCCAGCGGGACGUGGUGUGCCUUGUGUCUUGGAGUGGUGUGGGCCUGGAGAGACGCUAAAGUUGAUGGGCUAAAGAGUUGCAAAGGGGCCCGGAAAAUGAUCAGAAAAAGAAAGAAGCCAAAGAGAAAGGCACUUGGGUUCAACUGAAGCGCCAGCCUGCUGCACCCAGAGAAGAGCAGCACACUGUGAGAACCAAUGGGAAGGAGCCUGAGCUGCUGGAACCCAUUCCCUAUUAAUUCAUGGCAUAAUAUGUGUUAAUAAAAGACCUCUGGACU